AUAGCCAGAAUUCGCCGCUUCCCACCUUUCCCCGAGACUUCCAGCAGUAAUAGACAGUAAUAGCCUAAGACAAAUCAGCCCAUGCCUGUAAAAAUAGAAACACAAAAUCCUGAAGUCCCACGAAAGCCAUGAAGACGUUCCCCGCCCCACUUUGUGAUGCUGUAAAAAUCUUAAACAAUUCUCCUGGCAAUCAUUUCUGCUUUGAGUAUAACUAAUACUCCAAGCAUUUUGUUGAUAUCCAGAAUAUGUAUAUCUACCCUGAGAGGUUUUGGAGUAUGCAUAUUAUUAAGGGACAUAACACAGUAUUGGACAUUACCACAUUUCUUUCUUCAUUGGAGGAUUCGCCCCUGAAGACUUCAGUGCCACGGAGAGAAGGCUGUGCAGAGACCAUCCUAUUCACAGACUACCUCAUGGAACCGAAGAACAACGUUCAUUAGAAAGGAUAACAGGAAGUCAUCUGUAUCUUCUUCUCUCCCUCCUACCCCUUGCAGUUUCUCAUCUCAACAGGCACACAGAUCCUUAAAACACAGCAUUUUAGAAUUCUCCCUCUAAUCAUGGAGACAUCUUGGAAGACUCUUUGUCCCAGUGAAUGACAGAGACCAAGCCUGGAGAAGUUUACUCCAAGAAAUGAAAAUUUCAUAAAAGUCUGAACUAAUGAAUACAAGUGGUUAGAAUGGAAAUGUAUCUAACUUUAAUUACAGCUGUUUUGUGGCCUGUGUCUACUAAUCUACCUAGCUAUAUGAGAUUACCAUAAAAUACAAAGAUUAGUCAAUGUAAAAGUACUUGUAUUUCAUUUUCCCUGAUAAAGGGCUGAAGGUAAUGAAAUAAAAAUUGUAUUUAAUUAUUAAAAAUUAAUACCACCACUCACCAAGGAAUGUACAAAAUAAACAGUGGUCACAAUCAGGUGACCUAAGAUAUCAGGUAAAUAUAUGCAGUUCACAACAGUUGAAAAGACAUGGGCAUGGCAUGUAAAUUAAGGUUGCUUCAAGUUAUUGGGUUUGCCAACAAGCAUAAGAACAACCGAUAUUACUUUGUCUGCUAAGUAACAAAUAAAUGCUGAAAAUAUGUGUAUCUGUUCUGUUUCAAGCAGUGAAAACAAAAUGUUUCCAUAAUGUAUGCAUUAACAGAGGAUGCAUUGCUAUUUUACAGCACUCAAGGAAGGCUAGGAAAAUGUGGGUAUGUACAUUAAGUGGUGUGGGGGGAGGGAGGAAAAAGCUGGAUAGAUAUUCAACCAGAAACAGGCCUUAUUAGGAGGGGUCUUGCAUGGACCUGGCCAUACUAUGUCCCACAUGCUGAUUUUUUGAACAGACUUGUUGCCAAGAUAAAUUUUCUUUGUACUCUAGAAUUUAUAGGAUGUGCUUGGCUUUCAUCAGGAACACAGCAGUUUCUUCCUCAUGCAAACAACUCAGCUUUAGCUAGGCAGGACAUAAACAGAAAGAAUGGUUCACUAAUUAUUUAUAUAAAAGUCAAAGAUAGCUGCAAUCUGUAAGUUUCAUAGAAUCUGGAAGCUGUUGGGUUUUUUUGGGUGUGUGCGUGUAGCUCACUUUAUUUUUACUAAGUUCAGGGCUGCCUUGCAGAAUACACUGAAAAGCGACUGGCUCUUCAAACACAGAAAGAUGGACAACUGAGAGAGGUAAAGAGAGAAAAUGACCUACCAAACCACAAACCAAGUCAACUCAGGAGUAGAACUAAGUGGCUCUCAGCUCCACAUGCAUUAUUUUGGAUUAUGCUGCCUUUCUACCAAUAUACUAAUAACAAUUUACAAUAUAGUGGACUAAGUUCUCAGUACUUAAGCAGUCCAAUUUUUUUUCUCAUUAAUACUAAGUCUAUUCUUUGCUCAGAAGGACUAAUGUUUAUACAUUAUGGAUCUCACGAUGAAGUAGUGAGCUCUGAUUUCAGUUAAAUCUGUCAGGAUGAUAGCAAAAUGUCAUAGUGAACUUCCAAAGCACUUGCUCCAUAUCAAGAUCUUUACAAUUAUCUAUAUAAUAUCUUUCAGCUCCUGUGGGCUCCUUGAUCUCCUGUGAAAAUUCAAACUCCUUUGCCAGUUUUGAUUUCUGAAAAGUUGACCCUUAAGGCAUAAAUAUUUUUUAAAAGAUAUGCCAAAAUGUUACAAGAGAUAGUGGAUUUUACCCAGUUUGAUAGCCUUUUUGAAAUACCCACUUAAUAAAAAUUGCAUUUUUACUAAGUGAUUGGCCAUAUAAAUCAUGUGCUUUUCAUGUAUUGUUCAUGAAUCAAACUAAGAGCCAUUUAAAAAUGAUGAGCAUUAGGGAAACUUAAUAGCUUUUAAACAGAUUAUUUAAAUGACAGUAGCUAUGAUUUUUAUUCAAACAGCAAGGCUAGAGUAAGCUGUAGCAGGCCUCCCUCUGAAAAGAGCAGCUCUUUGAUAAAAACAUUUUGUUGCUGGAUUUAAGAAAGUAAAGAAAAAAGAGUAACUUCUCAGUUAUUCAUUCAUUUGUCAAAUCCUGGAUCUUUAUAAUGUAACAUUUUGACCAAUCACAAGUAAAACCACUGGUGGUUUAGGAGAGAUACAUUUUACUAUAUGAUUCAUAGCUAGUAUCAUUAAGUACCUUUUGAACAGGCACUUCCUGCAGACCAACCAGCUUGUAGAUCCUGUUCCUAGUAGUUUCAGGUGCAACAGUUUGGCAUGCAUGCUGCAUAUGGGGAAUGAUUUGCCAGCACUCUAGCUGCAUAUGUAACUUCAGCCAGGGUUUCUUAUUACAGAUUAGCAACAUUUCUAAUUCCUUUAUUAAUUUUCAAUACUAUGAAGCCAGAUGUAUUUUAUAGCAUCAUCUAUAUUCACCUGUUUCUUUACUUCUUCUUGUGGCGUGCAUCCGUGAGCCAAUUUUGCCAAUGGCUACUUGGCCUCUAUAUAUACUACUGCUUUUCAGGAAUAUUUCCUAAUAAUGACAAUUAUAAUUAACAUUUAUAUUUAUACUGCACAAUUAUGCCUAACUAUUUACAGUUUCCAAAAGCUGUGAAACAUCCAUUAAUUUUCCAAGUAAAAACACUAUGGGGUAGACAGAUAGAAUCAUCACCCCUAUUAUAUAGAUGAAGAAACGGAGGCUGAAAGAUUAAAUGUCUUGUCCAAAGCCACAUGACAAGGCUAGUGGCAGAAGAGAGGUUAGAUUAAAAGUUACCCAUCCUGUGUACAUUCAUCUAGACCGAGAUCUCUCAUAUUCAUUUAACAGCAUAGCCCACAUGUUAGCACAGGGAUUCUCUUGUGGACUCUUCCCUUCAGAAUCCCAUGUGAUCUCAAUUACAGAAAUUGUUUACAUAGAAAAGUAGUGCCAGGAAAGUACUUGUAUAUAAUACAUAUAAAAUGCAAUUUCUCAUCUGGAAACAAGGACAGUCAGCCUACUGUAACCAGCCAGCAGCUAACUGGUCACCAGCAAGUAGUCUGUGAAGCAAUAAUAGUUCACUGAUCUCAGUCUGAGAAUCACUAUCUUAGCUCCCAUUAUAUCUUCAGGCUUAUCCCUCUAGGUCACACUGUCUAAUGAUAUAGCAAUGUUAACUAAUCCUUUAUUAAACAAUUCUCCAAACACAGAUAAAGCAUUUGGGUUGUUAACAUACAUAAGUUAUAUUAAAGAGGUUUCAGAUCAGCACAUUGUAUUUUGUAGCAAAGUCAUAAAAUAUGUGAACAUGAUAACAUCUAAUGAGGGAAAUGUUGCAUGCAGAUGUCUGUUUGCCUAUUAUCCCAUAAAAUGACUGUAUAUUUUUAUUUAUAUGAGUAACAUCAGACACAAACAUGUUACUAUAAAUGCAUUCAUUUAGGAAAAUGUGUAAACACAAUAUGAAUCUAAUAUAUAUGUAAAACUGUUUUAAAACCUGAUAUUUAAUGUUUAUAAAAAGAACAGAGAUGAAAAAAUGUCCAUAAUUACAUUUUUUGUUGCUCUUGAUGAGACAAGAAAUAUAGGUUCUCAGCUGGCACAUUAUUUCUGAUGUGGCAGUGAAGGGAAAUUUGUGCUUAACAUCAUGUAUCCUUUACAUGAUGCAAAGGAGUAUAAUUUUAUUUUUGUUGUAUUUAAAGGCUCUGUCUAGGCACAUUGGCCACCAAUUUCAUUUUUACUGCAGUGCAUGGAUAGCAAAGUCACAUAUCCUUAAGUUAAUGCAAAGGAUAUAAGAAAGAAAAGAGAAAAUAUAAUUUUUGUUGUUGCUGUUGUCAUUUGAAAUUUCCAUAGUGUCUGUGCUCAUUGGGCACCAUUUCAUUUUUAUUGCACUGUACUGAUAGCAAUGUCACAUAUCAUUAAGUUAACACCAAGUAAGUAAAAAAGAAAAACAGAAUUUUUUAUUGCUAUCACUGUCUGAAAUUUCCAUAUUUUGUGUAUGUAAUUUUUGUGGGGAGGACAAAGUACCAGAAACUUUAAUAUACAACAUAAAAAGUUUAUUUGUUUAUUUUGCAAUGUUCUGUACUGCAGUGGCUAGAAAUACAGUGCUACCUAUAUGCCCUCUGCAUGGGAUAAAGAUUUGGAAAACUAAGCCCCACAUAAAGCAAAGAAAAGCAAUUGCACACUGGUAGUCCCCAACACAGGCGUGUAGAGUUAAAGGCCUACUGUACUCCUCUUUAUAUAUACAUUUCUUAUGUUUCUCUCCUUGUUAGUCCCAUGUACCCCAAGGGGGGCCAUGUCCCACUCUUUGGGCAAUACUGAGUUAGUAAGUGAGUAUGUGGUUUCAAUUCUGAACCCAGGUAAAACUGCCAGUAAGACAGCAUUAGCAGAUAGGUUUUUCAUUACAGUGAAUCCAUUACCAAAUUGUCUCUGUAUCUGAGUGCAAAAUUGAGUCCUUUAUCUAAUCUAAUCUUUUAAUCAUUUAUAAGAUGUAUCUAACAAUGGCUCUUCAGGGUCGUACAAAAUUUAAAACUUCUGACUUUGGCAGAAAUCUGCAGUGGUGAUGUAACCUAGUGCACAUUUUAUAGGCAUCACUUCUAGAAAUGUAGAGUACCAGAAGCCUGGUUCCUGAAAACAAAACUCUUCUCCUUUUGUGAUGCAAAGUGGCUGAAAACCAGCUGAAUCUGGUCAGCUGAGAAUUUGUCCAGCAUGGGGGUGUCCUUGUCCCAGGAUGGGGGUGGUUGUGUCUAGUAAUUAAAACAGCAGUGGAGCAGUGAGAAACUAGAGCCAACGCUUAGAGCAGAAGACGUGAAUGGAGUCUAGUGUCAGAGCUGGGUUACCUACAGUAGAGGUGGAAACAGGGCCAGCCAGAGACAUGGGCGAGCCAGGCAGCUGCCCAGGGUGCCAACUGAUGGGGGGGGGGGCGUCUAAUGGCAGCUGUAAGGGGUGUGAGGCAUCCCUUACAGCUGCCAUCAGGCGCCGCGUGCCCGGCUCCCACAGCGCUGGCCCGUCCGCAUCUCCGCGGCGCCGGCCAGCAACACCCUUCCCCCCACGUCCGCGGUACCCUACACGGCCCGGCAUGCAUUCCAGAAGUGACAGCUGGGCCAGACUGGGCCAUGCUUGCGCCGUGCACUCCGGGGGCAGGCCCUGGGCUGUGCGCCAAUGGCCGUAGCCGGGCCGCGCAUGCGCCGUGCACCCCGUGGGUGGGCCUGCGCACCCUAGGGGGGUGGGAUCGCUCCCCACAGGUGGGCCUGCGCAUGUGCUGAAUACCUCGGGCUGGCCCUGGGUGGAAACAAUCAGGCACAGGAUGCAAGCAUGGGUAAAUGCUCUGGCAACCAGAUGUGCCUGCUGCUGAUGAUCUUGAGGAAGUCAACUGAUCCCUUUAGCCAAUGAGGUGGUUUGGCCAAUCAUGUGGGUCUGUUGGGGUUCAACUACACUUACUAGAUUGCAGGAAGAGUAAGCUAGCAGGUAAGCAGCCAGCUGUGAUUCCUUAUUCCAAAGGGGGGAUGCUUUCAGCUGGUGCAGAACUGUAGAGCCCUGUAUGGAUAUUAAAUUGGUAUCCUCAUCCACAGGAUGUGCAGGGCUCUUCAGAGCUGGCAUACUCAGCUUCUGUGACAUCUUCUCCCUUUUGGCAUGUUGGGAGUAGGGUGUGUUUAGGGGCUGGCUAGAUCCUGUUGUGCCCUGGCUAUCCCCAACAUAUAUAAGAGAAGCUCUCAGGUGUUUUAACUUCCACUGGGAGUGGAGCCAGAAAGAAUCUGGUCCAAGAACCAGGAAGCCUGAUCUUUGCUACAGCAGAGAAUCUAGGCCAUUGAUAUCAAUGCAUGUUCAUUUAAAUAUAUGUUUAUGAUAUAAUGGCUUAAACAUCCACUCUUGUACAUAAGGCUCAUUUCAUUGUAAUUAGUUACAUCAUACUACUACAUGCCAACACACAAAUAAGUGCAAAUGAGAUAUAAGUUUCUGAGUCUUGGGGAAGUCUCAUCUUCUCCCUCCCUUGCCACAUUAACAAAUCUCAAUCUCCAGAAUGUCAAACAUAAUGAAAGACAGAAAAAAUGAUCAAAGCCUCUCUCGUAAAUCCAAUUAGUCCACUAACUGACAAGAGUAUAUUAUUACCUGGACUCACAGCUCUGGAUUCUUUGGACUGCACAAUAAAAUGCACACCUCUUUAUAUGCAGCCCAGUGUAAGCGUUGGUUGCUAACUUGAGAAGAGGCAAUCAUACUGUUGAACACUACCAGUAGUGCUAGCAGCCUGACCAUUCAUCUUCAUCCUUUAUCUUAAGAAAGAGUUGCCUGAGAGAUAACAACAGUGAAACUCUUUGUAGCAGGAAGAGAGGGAUAAUGUAGCAGUUUUAGAAGAAAUUCUGGAGAAGGAAUAUGCUAGAAAACCCUGACCCCCACCUUUCCUAAUAAAUAGCAUGAAGAAAAGAAUGGCCACAGAUCUGAUUUAUAGAACCCUAAUUUUAACAUCUUCCUUAAUUCUUCCACAUAUUUUUAUUUGUGUGUUAUGCUUUUUUCUUGGCUAUAGGGGACCUUUUGUAAUAUAUUUUCCUGAUCCAGAAAAUGUAAGUUUAUGAAAAAAUAUACUUAGCUUGGAGCUCCAGAAAACCAUGAUUUCUUUUCUUGGGUAUUUUAAUAAGUUCAAUGUGCCUAAUUUUUAUUGCUCUGCAGCUUGUAUCAUAAGAACAUGAGAACGGCCAUACUGGGUCAGACCAAAGAUCCAUCUAGCCCAGUAUCCUGUCAGCCGAUAGUGGCCAGCACCAGAU